rnacentral:lncRNA from 1 species
GUCUGAUUCCAUGAUCAUUAAUACCCUUUUUUUUUUUUUCUGCUGUGAUGCUUCUGUGACUUGGCUAGUGUUGGAGUACUUGAACUGGCUGGCCAGCUAUGCCACUUGGUUUUUAUGUCUAAAAUCUUCCUCAGAGGAAUAGGCUUGUUGCUCUGCGGUGUUAGUGACCCGUUCCCUUUGACGAUCCCUAGGUGGAGAUGGGGCAUGAGGAUCCUCCAGGGGAAAAGCUCACUACCACUGGGCAACAACCCUAGGCCAGGAGUUCUAUCAAGAUUCUUCCCUGGGCCCAGGGAGGAAGAUGAAGUCUCAAAACAACCACCACCCAUCAGAGGAGAACAUGGGCAACAACUGCCACAUCUGUGA